UGCGCGCUUUUCGAGUAAUUUUCCCGACCAUAUGCAGUUGGAAAAGUCGAACUAUCGGGACCGUGUGCAGUGCUUGCGCAAAAGCUUCCGGAAGUCCCCGAAAAAGCUCGGGAGGGAAACUUGAACCGCUUUCACAGAUGCAACUUGGCAAGCUGCACCUACUUACUUGCCCAAAAUGGCGGCGCUGUCGGCGAAAUGCCGAUAAAUCGAAGUUCCCCAUUUGAAAGUGCCAAGUGCCCACCGCAGCGAUACACAGCUGUGGUUAACAUAAUAGUGGUGUAUCAUCUUUAAAUGUACAUUUUAUAAUUUGAAAAUCGAGGAAACUGAAUGAAGUGAACUUCUAAUAUAGAAGGACCCUAAUUUCGCCACUCAAUCAUUAACAAUUUGUGUUAAAGUAAAAGGACGCUGCCCGAGCCACUCAACCAUCGAAAAGUGAUUGCAACCCGAUCCCGUGUCGCUGGAUGUACAUAAAUACCAGUUUCCAGUUUCCGUCGAGCUGAGCUGAGUCCCCGAUGGCUGGCCGAUGUUUAUACGAGUGUGUGGACUGGGAGAUGUCCGGCCUGACGUUUAUGAAAAGCCAUCGCAGCAUCAAAGCCAAUUAAGAUACCGGGGCAGGGCUCGUACAAGCUCUAAAGGAAUACGCGGCUAAUUUCUGCGACAAAGCCGACAAACGAUCGAGUCCAGUGUCUGGGGGCAAGAAGCGGCACUUUUGUCGCAAACACAGGCCGUAAAAUUAAGAACUCUGAUUGGUAACAAAUGUUUUUGUUCAUUCGAGUGAUAAAAACGUAGCGAACCGAAAAGAUAUAAAGUUCUCUUUAGUGUCUUGCCAGCGCGGCGAUGAUAAAAUAUUUAAAUGAGCGCCGAAAUGGGAAGGUUCUCGGCUUUUGGAUAG